GAGUUUGAUCCUGGCUCAGAAUCAACGCUGGCGGCGUGCCUAACACAGCAAGUCGAGCGAGAAAGGGGGCCUCGGCCCCCGAGUACAGCGGCGGACGGGUGAGUAACACGUGGGUAAUCUGCCCCCGGGUGGGGAAUAACACAGGGAAACCUGUGCUAAUUCCGCAUAACAUCUUCGUUCCACAAGGUUUGAAGAUCAAAGCUGGGGACCCCUUCGGGGGCCUGGCGCCUGAGGAGGAGCCCGCGGCCAAUUAGCUUGUUGGUGGGGUAAUGGCCUACCAAGGCAACGAUUGGUAGCCGGCCUGAGAGGGCGGACGGCCACACUGGGACUGAGACACGGCCCAGACUCCUACGGGAGGCAGCAGUGGGGAAUUUUUGUCAAUGGGGGAAACCCUGAACAAGCAACGCCGCGUGAAGGACGAAGACCUUCGGGUUGUAAACUUCUGUCGGAGGGGACGAAAGCGAUCGGUGCGAAUACCACCGGUCGUUGACGGUACCCUACGAGGAAGCCCCGGCUAACUCCGUGCCAGCAGCCGCGGUAAUAC
rnacentral:rRNA from 1 species